rnacentral:rRNA from 1 species
CAGCCGCCGCGGGAAUACAGAGGGUGCAAGCGUUAAUCGGAAUUACUGGGCGUAAAGCGCGCGUAGGUGGUUUGUUAAGUUGGAUGUGAAAUCCCCGGGCUCAACCUGGGAACUGCAUCCAAAACUGGCAAGCUAGAGUAUGGUAGAGGGUGGUGGAAUUUCCUGUGUAGCGGUGAAAUGCGUAGAUAUAGGAAGGAACACCAGUGGCGAAGGCGACCACCUGGACUGAUACUGACACUGAGGUGCGAAAGCGUGGGGAGCAAACAGGAUUAGAUACCCGGGUAGUCCCUGUCUCUUAUAA